CAUAAGAUUUACCUUUAUUUUUUAAUAUUGGAGAACUUGCCAUGUAAAUCCUAACAUGUGGACGAACUAAAUACCUGGGGAGUUCAUCAUCUCUCACAAACUAAAUCCAGUGGAAUGUGGAGCAUUUUGCAUGCCAGAUAAGAAAGGGCAUGUGACAAAGGAGAGCCAUUUCUUCCAUUUGAGAUUGGAGGGGGAAGAAUCCAAGGCUAGAAUCAUGUGGCUGACCAGGCUCCUGGGACUUCCACAUCUGCACAAUGGAUCAUGCAAAGGGGAGCAGCCUGGCCCUAAAAGAAACUUGUGCAUGACCCCAGGAGACCCACUGACAUGGAUCAGGAAACUGCUUUAGAAUCCCAGGAACAGGGCUAUGACCAAACUCCGUACUCUCCCAUGUGCCUAUCAUGUGUCAGUAUCUCUGUAUUGUCACUGGUGUAUUAAAGAUCUUGGCCCUCAGACGAAGGAGUGUCUUCGAGGGAAUGACAAACUAUAUCUGUCUACCAUGCUUGAAAUGCAAGAGUCCCGUCAGCUAGGGUUCAUUCUUGGGAACCACUUCAACUUGUCUUCUUCAGAGAAGCACUUCAGUGGGACCAGAGAGAACACUGUGCAUCCCAGGAUUGCAGCCACUGGACUCCAGCAACUCAAGGAAGAGGCAGCCAUUGAUACCAGACCUAGAAUUCACUAAAGGUCAAUGCCUUCAGGAAUUUUCAUCUGAUUUGAUGAUUGAUGCCCUCCCCAUCAUGAGCCCCAGGAAGACUCCCAUGCCGUUCCAGCUGAGGCACCCAACAGCAAUGAUGUUUUGUGAAAAUAGUGUGUGAUUUGGAUGCAAAUGAUCCUGGGUUCAAGACUUGCUUCUGUAAAGAAGAGAAUACCACACUCUCCUCUCCCAGUCAUGUGGGGAGUUAAUCGAAACCCACGGAAAGUGCAUUGCAUAAGGUGGGUGUCUGAUAAAUGCCCACACCUUUGGCUUCUCCUCUACUGAUAACUCUUUUUUCCUCAUCUUCCUGAUGUAAAAGGUGAGUGGGAGCCUUUAUGCCUUUCCCUGAAAGUAGAAGCCAGCCUCACCCCAGCCUGUGAGGCUGCUGAACCAGCCUCUUGCCCUUUCCUGCGUUUCUCAGGGCUUCCACCCUCCCCUCAGGCCCUUUCACCUCUCCAUGUCAUCUCUUUAUUCAGUUCUCCACCAAGCCUUCCCCGCUACCUUCAGGAAGCUUUGCAAACUGGCACGAAACCCUAAAUUCACAGUAUAGAGUCUGGAAUGCACUCCCCACUGCUUGGUGAUCCGUCAUACCAUACUGUUUUCUGCUUAUCUUUCUCUAAGACAACCUGUACCCUCAAUCUGGUGCCACUUAACAUGGCAAUAAGAGUGUAGUAAGUAGGGCCACAUCACAUGGUCUCAUUUAUGUAGAUGCUUGUUCCUUCAAGCUUGUCACCCCCAGUUCAGUAUCUACUACAGAUACAUUGACAGGGCUUGGAAAUUGACCAGAGUAUGAUCUUCCAUGCCUUCAAAUUGCUGUGUGGGGCUUCUGAGAAGACAAACUUUAGAAAUUGCCCCUCUUUUGCAGAGGAUUCAGUGGAACUCAGGAAUAUGCCAGUACCCACCUACCAACUUUCUAUUCCAAAUUGCCACUACUUACCUCCCCCUGCAGAAAUGUCCACCACUUACAAAGGUAUAGCUGAAGCCCAUCUAAGGUGAGCCAACUUUACUUAUAAUUGAAAACAAAUUAUAUGUACUUUAAAAGUAUUUGAGCACCAUUUUAUUGCCAAACAAUACACCCAACAAAGUCAAACAACCUAACUUCCCUUAACAAGAAUAUCAGGUUUGUCUAUAUUAUGAUUGGAAACAAACAUAAAUUAUAUUUGUUUUCCUAGACAGUCUAAGGUUUCAAUAGGUUGCUGUAAAAGAAUGUGAAGAAAGCUGCACCAACUGGCGUUUUGAAAUUCAAAUACCCUUAGUUUAAGCC
rnacentral:lncRNA from 1 species